rnacentral:rRNA from 1 species
CGCCAAAUGAAUUAAACAAGAACAAGUCCGGGGGCAUCCAGUAUUCAAGUUGUCCAGAGGUGAAAUUUCUUGGAAUUUACUGAAGACUAAACUACUGCGAAAGCAUUUGCCAAAGGAUGUUUUCAUUAAUCAGGUGAACGAAAGUUAGGGGAUCGAAGACGAUCAGAUACCGUCGUAGUCUUAACCGUAAACUAUGCCCGACUAGGGAUCGGGCGAUGUUCUUUUUCUGACUCGCUCGGCACCCUUACGAGAAAUCAAAGUUUUUGGGUUCUGGGGGGAUUAUGGUCGCAAGGCUGAAACUUAAAGAAAUUGACGGAAGGUCACCACCAGGCGUGGAGCCUGCGGCCUAAUUUGACUCAACACGGGGAAACUCACCAGGUCCAGAUGAAAUAAGGAUUGACAGAUUGAGAGCUCUUUCUUGAUUUUUCAGGUGGUGGUGCAUGGCCGUUCUUAGUUCGUGGGGUGACUUGUCUGCUUAAUUGCGAUAACGAGCGAGACCUUACUCUGCUAAAUAGCCAGGCUAACUUUGGUUGGUCGCCGGCUUCUUAGAGAGACUAUCAACUCAAGUUGAUGGAAGUUUGAGGCAAUAACAGGUCUGUGAUGCCCUUAGAUGUUCUGGGCCGCACGCGCGCUACACUGACAGAGCCAACGAGUUCUUUUCCUUGUUCGAAAGAAUUGGGUAAUCUUGUUAAACUCUGUCGUGCUGGGGAUAAAGCAUUGCAAUUAUUGCUUUUCAACGAGGAAUGCCUAGUAAGCGCGUGUCAUCAGCAUGCGUUGAUUACGUCCCUGACCUUCGCCCUCGGCGCCCGUC